rnacentral:rRNA from 1 species
UAGGGAAUCUUCCGCAAUGGACGCAAGUCUGACGGAGCAACGCCGCGUGAGUGAAGAAGGUUUUCGGAUCGUAAAACUCUGUUGUUAGAGAAGAACAAGUGCUAGAGUAACUGUUAGCGCCUUGACGGUAUCUAACCAGAAAGCCACGGCUAACUACGUGCCAGCAGCCGCGGUAAUACGUAGGUGGCAAGCGUUGUCCGGAUUUAUUGGGCGUAAAGCGAGCGCAGGCGGUUCCUUAAGUCUGAUGUGAAAGCCCCCGGCUCAACCGGGGAGGGUCAUUGGAAACUGGGGAACUUGAGUGCAGAAGAGGAGAGUGGAAUUCCAUGUGUAGCGGUGAAAUGCGUAGAUAUAUGGAGGAACACCAGUGGCGAAGGCGACUCUCUGGUCUGUAACUGACGCUGAGGCUCGAAAGCGUGGGUAGCAAACAGGAUUAGAUACCCUGGUAGUCCGCGCCGUAAACGAUGAGUGCUAAGUGUUGGAGGGUUUCCGCCCUUCAGUGCUGCAGUUAACGCAUUAAGCACUCCGCCUGGGGAGUACGACCGCAAGGUUG